UACGAAGGGGGCUAGCGUUGUUCGGAAUCACUGGGCGUAAAGCGCACGUAGGCGGAUCUUUAAGUCAGGGGUGAAAUCCCGAGGCUCAACCUCGGAACUGCCUUUGAUACUGGGGAUCUCGAGUUCGGGAGAGGUGAGUGGUACUGCGAGUGUAGAGGUGAAAUUCGUAGAUAUUCGCAAGAACACCAGUGGCGAAGGCGGCUCACUGGCCCGAUACUGACGCUGAGGUGCGAAAGCGUGGGGAGCAAACAGG
rnacentral:rRNA from 1 species